CAGCCCUUGUGGGUGGUAUGUGAGAAGUUUAUAAAAAGAUGACUCAGAUGUUCAGUGAAUGUUUUCCACCAGUUUUGCUUUCUCUAUUUUUCUGGAAAAUAGACUGUAUAGUUUCACUCUGAUGUUUCCCUCUUCCAACUCUGCCUAUAGCUGGAAUAAUGAAUAUAAAUGGCAAGCAAGUAAAAGUAAAUAUAAGCAUUCAAGUUUGGCUUGCUUUUUACAUCUUGAGUACUGCAAACUACUUAAAUUUACAUUUACAGAAGGCUAAAAUCUUAAUUUGAUUUCUCCUACUAAAGGUCUUAAAAUUCAGUCUGUUUCAACAUGUGGAGAGUUUACUAUUUGCAGGGCUGUGUGCUGGAAGGUGUGAGGGAUGCUUGGAAGAAUGUCACUGUCCCUGGAAUUGAAGAAAGUGGCACAAAAAAUCUUCACCAUUCAAGAAUAGGAUUAGUGCUAUAGGAUACUUGGAAGCAAAUUGCCAUGAAAGCCCAGAGAGAAUAGGGACACUUUUUAGAUGAGGGGACAGUCUUCCUCACUUUAAAUAGUGGAACAUUUACAAGAAAUGACAAUCAGCAAAGGGAACACCAAGAGGGCAGAGCACUCACCAAAACCAUGGGGCAAGGCCAGGCCAUGCAGGAAACAACAAGCCCUCGUGUUGAACAGAAUCCAAGCCAGGUGACUGGAAGGAGAGACUGAGGACAACUUGGGUCCAGGGACCAGGAGUUUAGGUUUCAGUAUGAGAAUGGCUGAGAGCUGAGAAAGAUGUUUCAGCUGAGGAUGCAGGGCCUGGUCCAGGGUGGAUCCCAGGGUGGCUGUGCUUUGGGUUUCCCCUGGCUCAGCCUAUAAGAGCUUGAGAAACAAGAGUCAGUGGUGGCCCUGGAAGCUGCUGUAUUUAUUCAGUCCUAUGCAAAUAUAUCGAUUAUUCCAGAGAGAUUAUACAGGCAGGUAUAUUAUAGGCUUCUCCUCAUGGAGAACAACUGUCCAAUGUAGAACAACUGUCCAAUUAGAACGGCGCUCCUAACCCACUGUGUGAAGCACAGUUGUAUUACUAGCCAUUAUAAGAGUUGGAACUUUGAAGAAAAGGUCUGUGAAAUAACAGCAUGCAAAAUGGCAGCCAAGUCCUAAUCACACUUGAGUUUCCUGAAACACAGAGCCUGCGACUUAAAAAGACGGUCUACCCAAUUUGGCGGGGACCGACCAUUUUGCAACUGAUUCUUCCUUCCUGAAUUCCUUGUCAGGACUUACCUCCCAUGACAAGGGUUCACAAUUGCUCUCACCGCGCUUUCCACACGCCCCCUCCCCUGCACACACCCUUUUUUUAUGCCUUGGUGCUCAUCAAGAGCUCCCCUUGCUAGUUCCUUUUCUUCUCUCCUCAAGCAAACAUACUAUGUAAAGUGCUACGGUAAAACGUUCCAGGAACGAAUGCAAAGGCCGAGGUGACAGGGGGAAGUUCCUUUCUUCAAGAAGCAAUAUCGUAGAGGUGGGCUGUCAGGGAGCCUGCAAGAUCUGAAGUUUCAGGGACUGAAUGAAAGAAACACUCGGCUAACAAAACAGUGCCGCCGAGGACGUUUCAUCUGCUCGGGCCAAAUCCCUUCUUUCUUUCCAUCCUUUCUUUCCUAAUAACAGCUGCCCUCUCAUUCCAUGUUACUCUGCUGUGAAGAACAAAACCUCCCUCUGACUAUCUGUUUUUCUUUUCUUCCCCAGAGUAGGUCUCAUUACUGGUGAUUAGCAGAUGAUUAAAACCAAUUCAGCUUCCCCCAGUAGAUAUUUUCUCCCUGUUUGUGCCUAACGCGUCAGCCUUCAAUGAACGUGCUCCUAAGCUUAUUAACAGGCUCAGAGGAUUAGCUGCCGCCAAGCUCGGUGGCUCCCAUAUUGUGAUGCAGGGAGUGACAUGGAACCAUUUGCUGAGCGCAGACAGGACCGCUGGGAUCAAACUAUCUAAAUCACAAUUUUAUUUUCCAUGUAGAGCAAGAUAAAAGAAAACCCAACAAUAAUUACAAAAAUCAAACGUUUGGACAAGUCUGAAAAUAUCCUUAUACUUAGUGGCAGAAAACAGGCUAAACCAAUCAGGAAGGGCAUCAAUGUGCGUGUGUGCGAGGGUGCGUGUGGAGUUUACAUGAAUGUAAAGUCAUGUGGUUUAUCUAUGUUCAUGCCCAUGUACAAAGAUAAAAGUUCUCGUUUAGCCUCUGCAUUCACUCUGGUACAUAAACAGCCUGUGUUUGCACGGGUCCCAUAUGGAUAGAUCUUUCUUUUAACAGAGACUAAAGAAUCGUGAACUUAGAGUAUAACAGCCUAUGAAUUUUGGUAAUAUUUUAACGAGCAUCUAAUCCUCCAAAACUGUGAAACUUGAGUUAGAUAUUGGCAGAUACAGACAAAGGAAUUCCAAGUAACUGGUUUCACUUUUGUUUCAAAAUCACAAAUACACCAUACGGUUUUUAAAGUUUGGGAGGAAUGUCUCCCUAUCUGAAAGUGUUUUAUUUCUUGGAUCGCUAACUAAACAAUAAUAAUAGUCACAAAAGAAUAGUGAUAUAUUUAUUAGCUGGGACCAGAAUUAGUAGAUUAGAAAGCAAAAAGGAACAUUGCUUCAGUUCUAAAAGGAGAAAAACCUCAUAGUCUGACUCUGGUAGAUGCAUUUAAAAGGUUGUGUUCUGGGGGGACAGGAUUGCUUUAUUGUUACCAAUGGUCUCUUAUUCUAAAUCUUUCAGUUUUUCUCAUUUAGUUUUUCCCACCUUUUCAAUGCAGCUUAACUCUGAGCGUGCUGGAGCUUGAAAUCUAGUUUCCAAUUCAUAAUAGCAACAGGGUUUGCAGAAAAUGUCAACAAAUCCCUCAUCAUCAAGGAACGUAGGAAAUGUGAAAGUGCCUGCUGCAUAGGAGACCACUGAUAAUGUGUUUUUUCAUGAAGAAUCAACUCAGUCUCUCAAUUUGCCACAACUCUGAACCUAAGCAGUGAGUAGAAGGCUUUGUUGGGCUUCGAAGUUCACAUAUUUAAAACGUCCAGACAUGGAGGAAGAGAACUUCAGGUGGAACAGAAACGUGGCAGUGGACAAGGAUUUUCUAUGAAUGCAUGAAUGAAAGAGUGAAUAGCUAUCUCGUGACAAAGAGAAAUGACAAGGCAGAGACGAUGAGAAGACGUGCUUUUAUAUGGAGACAGUUGACUUUUUUUGCUGGAAAAAUGCAUGCGCAUGUUCCAGAGGGACCCUAGUUUGAUGCUGUUUGAGUGUGGAGCCACCCUGCCAUCUGCCCCGUCAUCCACCAGAAUGACUGUUCACUCAUCACAAAACUUACAACGUUAACUCACAGCGAGAUACGUAUACGGAAAAAUGAACACCGUUAAAAUACAAAAGGACUGAAAUUGUAGUUCUCUCUUACGUUUUGCCAUCGAAAGAACACGUAUUUCACAGCUUCACUCUUUCUGAAAUAACAAACAAACAAAACAAAACAAAACACAAGACAAAAGAAAACCGGCGAAGGUGAUUUCAUUGACCCCAAUUUUGGAAGCAAGGAGAAACAAGCAUGUGAGAUAAAGUCUACAAAGCAGUGCAAAGCUACUUAAAGAAGAGAUAUUUGAGCUGUAAUGCAAAUGCAUCAUUUAAAAAAGAAUAAUUUAUCUCUGUUGACAACAGAGGGUGUAAUUAGACUUUCUAUAUAUCAUACUGCAUAUGUUGAAGGAGUUAUCACACUGUUAUAUUUAGAUUGGAAAUGUCCUUAAAAUUUUACUGCAAAAUAGAUUCUACAUAAAUUUUUUUAUUGUACACCUUUUUAGAGAAUAAUGAUUAAAUUAAUGCCCUUGUACUAGUAACCAAAAUUAGAAACUAAAAAACUACCUUCUUAAAAGCUUCCUCUGUGCCUCUCAACAAGAGUAGCUCCCUUUUCCUCAGAGGUAACUGCAGUAUUACCCUAAUUUUGUUUUCAUCUAAUUUGCUUCUUUCUAACUAUAUUCAUGUAUCUGUAUCCCCAAACACUACCAUAUUCGUUUCAACCUAUGUUUGGACUUUUUAUCAAUGUAACUACUCUGUGUUGCAUUCUCUUUUGAGAUUCAUUCAUGUUAAAGCCUAGGCAAUAGUUUAUUGGUUUCUUAGUGCUAUAUUCUAUUGUGUAAUGUGGCACCAUUUAUUUGACCAUUGUUACUACUUAAGACUAUUUGAAUUAGUUCCAGUAUUUACUAUUAUGAACAAUUUUGCUAUAACAUCUCUUGGUUUGUUGUGUAACCAUUUCUCUAGGCUAUAUAUCUAGGAUUAGACUUGCUGGAUAAAAAUGUCUUUAUACAUUCAACUUUGAAAAGUAAUGGCAAACAUUUUCCAUAAAAAGUCAUACCAAAUUACUUUCCUACCAACCGCAGAGAAGAAUUUCUGAUGUUUCACAUUCUAGGCAAUGUUCAAUAUUAUCUGAUUUUUAAGAAAUAUUUGACAAUUCAAUAAUUUGAAAAAGAUAUUUUAUUAUGUUUAUAAUUUGCAUUUUAUGACUACAAAUAAGAUGGAACACUUUUUCAUUUGUUUAUGAACUUUUCAUAUGUUUUCUGUGGAAUGGCU